GGGGGGGGGGGGGGGGGUCGGGUCGCUUUUGUUGUUCUUUUUUUGUUUCAUUUUUGGAAGAAAGUGGCAGGUGGUGAAAUCCCAAGGAAAUGGCCACGGAAAUCGACUUUCUGAGAGACCAAAAUCAACGACUAAAUGAAGUUCUUAGACGGUAUCAGAUGGAAGAUUUUUCCAAAUAUUCAUUGGUGCAGGAAGCUGUCUUCAAAGGAGAUGGAGAUGACACAUUAAAAAACACAGUAGUUGAUCGAAGCUUUUUAGCUCCUCUUAUUAUUGAGUAUGAUAAGCAUCUGGAAGAGCUAAAUGGACAGCUGAAGUAUUACAAGAAACAGAUGGGCGAGAUGAAACUACAAUUUGAAAAUGUCAUCAAGGAAAAUGAAAGGUUGCACAGCGAAUUAAAAGAUGCUAUUGAAAAACAACUAGAGACCUUUCCCUUUGGCACAGACAUGGGAAGUGAUAUAUAUACAGAUGAUGAAACAGUCAGGAAUCUGCAAGAACAAUUACAACUAGCCAAUCAAGAAAAAACUCAGGCUGUGGAACUCUGGCAGACUGUUUCCCAGGAGUUGGGCAGACUUCAGAGACUUUAUCAGGAACAUAUGACUGAGGCCCAGAUUCAUGUAGUUGAGAGUCAAAAACAAAAGGAUCAAUUGACCAAUUUUCAACAACUGACCAAGCAACUUCAUGUAACUAAGGAGAACAUAGAAAUGACUAACCAACACUUUCUGGAAACAGUUACUGAACAAAAUGUGGAAAUCGAGCAACUUCGAAAACAACUUAGGCAAGCCAAGUUAGAUCUGAGAGUUGCAGCAGCAAAAGUAGAAGAGUUAACUAAAGUGACUGAAAAUCUUCAAGGACAAAUGCAAAAGAAGGAGGAAGAGAUGUUGUCUGCCCAAGGAAGAGAAGAAGCAUCAGAUAGGCGUUCACAGCAGUUACAAUCUAGUAUAAAACAAUUAGAAACAAGACUCUGUGUAGCAAUCCAAGAAGCCACCCAAUUAAGAGCACAAAAAACACAUUUGGAAAAACGGACCAGAGAAUUACAAGCAAAGUGCAAUGAAUUAGAAAAUGAAAAAUACGAAGCUAUUGUAAGAGCCAGAAAUAGCAUGCAGCUCUUAGAAGAAGCUAACCUUCAAAAAAAUCAGGCUGUUCUUCAGGAGAAGCAAAAAGAAGAAGAUGUAGAGAAAAUGAAAGAAACUGUCUCUCGGCUUGUGCAAGAUGCUGCCAUGAUAACCAGGAAGGAAGUUGCAAACACAAGAAAACAGUAUAGUGUACAGAUUUCUCGACUAACAGAAGAACUUUCAGCCCUUCAAAUGGAGUGUGCUGAAAAACAAAGCCAAAUUGAACGAGCCAUUAGGGAGAAAAAAGCAGUGGAAGAAGAACUAGAAAAGAUUUACCAUGAAGGCAAAGUAAAUGAAAGUGAUUACAGAAAACUAGAAGAAAUGCACCAAAGAUGCCUGGUUGCAGAGCGUUGUAAAGAUGAUCUUCAACUAAGACUUAAGACAGCAGAAAAUAAAAUAAAACAACUUGAAAUAAAUUCCUCAGAAGAGAUAUCACGUUGCCAAGAAAUGAUUCGGAAACUUCAAGACAUAUUGGAGUCUGAGAGAGAGAACUGUGGGUUUGUUAGUGAACAAAGGCUGAAACUUCAGCAAGAAAAUGAACAGUUACAGAAAGAGACUGAGGAUUUAAGGAAGAUUGCUCUUGAGGCUCAAAAAAAAGCCAAAUUAAAGCUGAUUCCUUCUUUGCCAACACGGGAACCUAGUGCUACAUUUCACUGCUUUUCUUCCCCCUUGAAAAAGAAUGUGAUCUUCCAUAGACAAACUGAAAGGAGCCACAAAGAUCAAGACAGUUGGAUAUUGAGAGAUCAGUACAAUGGAACAUGAAUUUUCAAUAAAGGAACAUGGAUUUGAAGUUCAACUCAGAGAGAUGGAAGACAGUAAUCGAAAUUCCACUGUUGAACUGAGGCAUCUCUUAGUGACUCAACAGAAGGCGGCCAAUAGGUGGAAAGAAGAAACAAAGAAACUUACUGAAAGUGCAGAAAUUAGAAUCAGUAGUCUAAAGAGUGAGCUGAGUCGACAGAAACUUCAUACCCAAGAGCUGCUUUCUCAGCUGGAAAUGGCAAAUGAAAAGGUAGUUGAGAAUGAAAAACUAAUUCUAGAGCAUCAAGAAAAAGCCAACAGACUUCAAAGGCGUCUAAGUCAGGCAGAACAGAGAGCAGCUUCAGCUUCUCAGCAGCUCAGUGUGAUUACAGUGCAGAGAAGAAAAGCAGCCUCCAUGAUGAAUCUGGAAAAUAUUUAAAAAUAUUCAUAGUUCACUCACAGAACUUUAGACUUGGGAAAGCUGUUGGACUAGAAGUGUAUUGAAAUGGUAAAAACCUGCAGAAAGAAUGGUUAAGGCUUGUGUCAUUUUGCAUAAGUGUUUUCCAUUCUGUUUUGAGGGUUAUUGGAAAACAGAACAGUGGCAGCUUCCUGUAUGUAAAGAAAAUAUAACACUAUAUUGAGCUUCAGUGGAGAAUAAAGCCAGCUGAGAAGAAUUCAUUGCCUUCAUCAACGUGUCUAUUUUUCAAUUCCCCCUUUUUUCCCUUAGAAGAGCAUAAUUUUCAAACUACUAAUCAUAAGAAAGAGAUUUUAAGACAAUGCUAGAAUUCUAAUAUUUCAGGUUCCAUGAUUUAAGAAUUUCACAUCUAAUUGUUACUCCUAACCCAUUUUUUUAAGUUCCCAAGUAUCCAUUUUAUUAUAAACUCAUAAAUGUAAUAAAUUAUGCACUUUCUAAAA